AUGCGGGGUCUCGCCGACACGUUGGCCUCACUUGGCCAGUCUCUGCAGGACGAGGAAUUCACCACCUUCGUGCUUAUCAGGCUUGAUGAUGAUUAUGACAAUCUCGUUGUGAACGUUCAUGGCCGUGAUGAUCCGCUUCCACCUCGCGAGCUUUAUGCCCGACUUCUUGGCCGUGAACAGCGCAUCAAGGCACGCCGUGUCUCACCGGGCUUCGCCUCCGCCAAUGCCGCGAUUCGUAGCAAACCUCCGCGGUCAUCAUCUUCAGGUGGCAAGCCGGCACAGUCUUCACAGCCGGCCUCGCGUGGCAAUGCGCCAUCCAUCACGGGUGGCAACCGGCCGGUUGCUUGCUGCUCCUCCUGCGGUGCCCCGCAGGCCUGCUAG
rnacentral:rRNA from 1 species